GAUGAAGAACGUAGCGAAAUGCGAUACUUGGUGUGAAUUGCAGAAUCCCGUGAACCAUCGAGUCUUGAACGCAAGUUGCGCCCGAAGCCACUAGGCCGAGGGCACGCCUGCCUGGGCGUCACACGCCGUUGCCCCCCAUCUACUCCUUCGGGAUUGCGGGGGGGCGGAUGAUGGCCUCCCGUGCGCCUAGCCGCGCGGUUGGCAUAAAUACCAAGUCCUCGGCGACGCACGCCACGACAAUCGGUGGUUGCGAAACCUCGGUUGCCCGUCGUGUGCGUUCGUCGCGCAUCGAGGGCUCGAAAAAAUGCUCGGCUCCGGCUGGGCUUUCAACGCGACCCCAGGUCAGGCGGGGUUACCCGCUGAAUUUAAGCAUAUCAAUAAGCGGAGGA
rnacentral:misc_RNA from 1 species